rnacentral:rRNA from 1 species
UGGGGAAUAUUGGACAAUGGGCGAAAGCCUGAUCCAGCCAUGCCGCGUGUGUGAGGAAGGUCUUCGGAUUGUAAAGCACUUUAAGUUGGGAGGAAGGGCAGUAAGUUAAUACCUUGCUGUUUUGACGUUACCGACAGAAUAAGCACCGGCUAACUCUGUGCCGG